AGGGUUUGAUCAUGGCUCAGGACGAACGCUGGCGGCGUGCUUAACACAUGCAAGUCGAACGGUAGGCUCCAGCUUGCUGGGGUACACGAGUGGCGAACGGGUGAGUAACACGUGGGUGACCUGCCCUGCACUUCGGGAUAAGCCUGGGAAACUGUGUCUAAUACCGGAUAGGACCAUGGUGUGGAUACUGUGGUGGAAAGUUUUUUCGGUGUGGGAUGGGCCCGCGGCCUAUCAGCUUGUUGGUGGGGUAAUGGCCUACCAAGGCGGCGACGGGUAGCCGGCCUGAGAGGGUGGACGGCCACAUUGGGACUGAGACACGGCCCAGACUCCUACGGGAGGCAGCAGUGGGGAAUAUUGCACAAUGGGCGGAAGCCUGAUGCAGCGACGCCGCGUGGGGGAUGACGGCCUUCGGGUUGUAAACUCCUUUCACCAUCGACGAAGGGUUUCUGACGGUAGAUGGAGAAGAAGCACCGGCUAACUACGUGCCAGCAGCCGCGGUAAUACGUAGGGUGCGAGCGUUGUCCGGAAUUACUGGGCGUAAAGAGCUCGUAGGUGGUUUGUCGCGUCGUCUGUGAAAUUCCGGGGCUUAACUCCGGGCGUGCAGGCGAUACGGGCAUAACUUGAGUACUGUAGGGGAGACUGGAAUUCCUGGUGUAGCGGUGAAAUGCGCAGAUAUCAGGAGGAACACCGGUGGCGAAGGCGGGUCUCUGGGCAGUAACUGACGCUGAGGAGCGAAAGCAUGGGGAGCGAACAGGAUUAGAUACCCUGGUAGUCCAUGCCGUAAACGGUGGGCGCUAGGUGUGGGUUUCCUUCCACGGGAUCCGUGCCGUAGCUAACGCAUUAAGCGCCCCGCCUGGGGAGUACGGCCGCAAGGCUAAAACUCAAAAGGAAUUGACGGGGGCCCGCACAAGCGGCG
rnacentral:rRNA from 1 species